ACAGCCAUUAGUGCACAGAGGGUGUGCUCA
rnacentral:piRNA from 1 species